UUCAUGCCCGACGAGAAGAGAC
rnacentral:piRNA from 1 species